GAUCCCAGCUAAAUAUGAGGACAGCCUCAAGAUACCAGAUUCCUGCAGGAGUCAUCGUGCCCGACGGCCGGAUGGGAGAAAGACAUCAGAGAGCCUUGCUGGGCGAACACGGGCUGGCACAAACCUUCUCCGCGGUGGCCUCUCCAUGGGCCCCUCCCUUCUGCUCUGCGAGGACAUCCUGCAAGCAGCGGGCAGUCUUUCGGUGGAAGUCCUGAAGGAAGAGGUGGUGACAAACACUGCUGCAGCUUCUUCCUCGCUGAGGGACCUGCUAGAGGCAAAAGCAGGCUGAACUUCUGGCAGUGGGGACACUGCUGGCGAGGGCAAGGAGGCGGCACAGGGAGCUAUGAUCAGGCCGGUUCCUGACUCCUGCUCUUCACGACCAGCUCUUUCCAGGGGCAAUGGGGAGUUCAACUUGGACCAGGCUGUAUUUUCUUUUCCUGGUCAGAAAACAGCAGCGGGGCUCAUCUUCCACACAGUGUUGUGCAGCAGCCCUUGAAGCCAAAAGCAGCUUUGCUUGUGUGGGGUAAGCGUAAAGAGAGGCGUGGAGAAGGGAAAGCUAUUUCUUGGUGUCAGGAAGGGGGGGAAGGAGAGCAGGGAAGGAGAGACGAAAACCUUUCCUUUCUCUGCCCGCAGAUGUUGAAGUUAAUGGAGAAAUCCAAAAACGGCAGGAAGAAAAAUCUCACAACAGCUCUGCAAUGGCGAGGAGACGGGCUCCCCAGCGGCGA